ensembl:snoRNA
CCAACUGUUGUCAAUGAUGCAUUCUUCAUGAAACUGAAUCUCUGUGAUUGCAUGUUAAGUUUUCGUCACUACCACUGAGACAACAGAUGG